rnacentral:rRNA from 1 species
AACGAACGCUGGCGGCGUGCCUAACACAUGCAAGUCGUGCGAGAAAGUUCCUUCGGGAGCGAGUAAAGCGGCGCACGGGUGAGUAACACGUAGGUAACCUGCCCCCCAGUCUGGAACAACUAGAGGAAACUCUAGCUAAUGCCGGAUGAGACCACGAUCUCUUCGGGGGUUGCGGCCAAAGAUGGCCUCUACUUGUAAGCUAUCGCUGAGGGAUGGGCCUGCGGGCCAUUAGCUUGUUGGUGAGGUAACGGCUCACCAAGGCUGUGAUGGCUAGCUGGUCUGAGAGGAUGACCAGCCACACUGGGACUGAGACACGGCCCAGACUCCUACGGGAGGCAGCAGUGGGGAAUAUUGCGCAAUGGGCGAAAGCCUGACGCAGCGACGCCGCGUGGGUGAUGAAGGCCU